rnacentral:lncRNA from 1 species
CAGCAUGGCACUAGAGUGUACUAUGGUAUUUAUACGCAUACAGAUAAAUCCACAAGCGCACGGAUACCGUUGUAGCUUUUACCCGGUUAAAGGAUUUAUCGUAUCCACAGGGAAACGGGAGAACCAACUACUCUCUAACUUAACCAAGAUAGAUAGAUAGGUGUAAAUAGAAAAGAUGGUAGAAUUGAAUAGGAAUAAUCUUAAAGGUAAGAUAACAAUGGGUGAUAAUAGGGGAAU